GUGAAAAUUUCGUCUGCAGCGAAAGUAGUAGCCAAAUUUCGAGUUUUGGACUUUUAAAGAAUGACGAUCUUAAAGUUUUUGAAUUUAGACUUUCUGUCAUUUGUAAAUCACAUGUAAAAAAAGGAAACUUGUGAUGACUAAUGAAAAAGAUAAUCCUUUGAGUAAAAAAUAAGAAAUAACCAUGAGAAUAUGGGGUCGCAGAAAUAGAUGUCAACUGGUGGAAAAUAAGAAGAUUUGGUGAGGAACAUCCAAUCUGUCGAUCGCGGUCGCUAACCAAUUGGUAGAAAAACAGCACCAAUAAUGGUUAGAAGGUGUGCUGUGAAGUGGCGUGAUAAUUUUAAUCAUGGACAUUCAGGUUUCAUUUCGUGAUUUGUCAGGUCGAACUCGGAUGUGCUUUAUUCGAGAUUUUAACAUAAAUUGCAUUUUAUACAUAAAAAAAAUUAUCAUAAAGCUACAAUGUUACAGCAUUACCCGAGGCAUUACCCGUACUAUGGCUCGUCCCGGUUUGUAUUGCUUUGUAUAAUCUUUAGUUGAACGCUAAAUAUAUUAGAGGCUAGCUAAGAGAAUUUGGCUAGAUCUUUACAAGAUUAGUGAAUGUGAUUUUUUAAAGAAAUUCUGCCUGUUGCACAUCGAUAUAAUUGGCCUUGAUUCUUAAAGGUGGCUUGAUGGCUAAACUUUCGACGGUUAAAGUUAAACUCUAUUUAAUAAAUAGAUAAUAUAACAU